rnacentral:rRNA from 1 species
CAGUAGCCGCGGUAAUACGAAGGGGGCUAGCGUUGCUCGGAAUUACUGGGCGUAAAGGGAGCGUAGGCGGACAUUUAAGUCAGGGGUGAAAUCCCAGAGCUCAACUCUGGAACUGCCUUUGAUACUGGGUGUCUUGAGUGUGAUAGAGGUAUGUGGAACUCCGAGUGUAGAGGUGAAAUUCGUAGAUAUUCGGAGGAACACCAGUGGCGAAGGCGGCUCACUGGUCCAUUACUGACGCUGAGGUGCGAAAGCGUGGGGAGCAAACAGGAUUAGAUACCCCCGUAGUCCCUGUCUCUUAUAC